rnacentral:rRNA from 1 species
GACAGAGGGUGCAAACGUUGCUCGGAGUCACUGGGCGUAAAGGGCGCGUAGGCGGGAAUGUAAGUCGGGCGUGAAAUCCCCAGGCUCAACCUGGGAACUGCACUCGAAACUGCGUUUCUUGAGUAUCGGAGAGGAAAGCGGAAUUCCUGGUGUAGAGGUGAAAUUCGUAGAUAUCAGGAGGAACACCAGUGGCGAAGGCGGCUUUCUGGACGGUAACUGACGCUGAGGCGCGAAAGCGUGGGGAGCAAACAGG